CAGGCUUAACACAUGCAAGUCGAGGGGCAGCAUGGUCUUAGCUUGCUAAGGCCGAUGGCGACCGGCGCACGGGUGAGUAACGCGUAUCCAACCUGCCUUACACUCUUGGACAGCCUUCUGAAAGGGAGAUUAAUACAAGAUGUUAUCAUGAGUAAGCAUUUUCGCAUGAUUAAAGGUUUACCGGUGUAAGAUGGGGAUGCGUUCCAUUAGAUAGUAGGCGGGGUAACGGCCCACCUAGUCUUCGAUGGAUAGGGGUUCUGAGAGGAAGGUCCCCACAUUGGAACUGAGACACGGUCCAAACUCCUACGGGAGGCAGCAGUGAGGAAUAUUGGUCAAUGGACGAGAGUCUGAACCAGCCAAGUAGCGUGAAGGAUGAAGGUUCUAUGGAUUGUAAACUUCUUUUAUACGGGAAUAAACGAAUCCACGUGUGGAUUUUUGCAUGUACCGUAUGAAUAAGGAUCGGCUAACUCCGUGCCAGCAGCCGCGGUAAUACGGAGGAUCCGAGCGUUAUCCGGAUUUAUUGGGUUUAAAGGGAGCGUAGAUGGGUUGUUAAGUCAGUUGUGAAAGUUUGCGGCUCAACCGUAAAAUUGCAAUUGAUACUGGCAGUCUUGAGUACAGUUGAGGUAGGCGGAAUUCGUGGUGUAGCGGUGAAAUGCUUAGAUAUCACGAAGAACUCCGAUUGCGAAGGCAGCUUACUAACCUGUAACUGACAUUGAUGCUCGAAAGUGUGGGUAUCAAACAGGAUUAGAUACCCUGGUAGUCCACACGGUAAACGAUGAAUACUCGCUGUUUGCGAUAUACUGCAAGCGGCCAAGCGAAAGCGUUAAGUAUUCCACCUGGGGAGUACGCCGGCAACGGUGAAACUCAAAGGAAUUGACGGGGGCCCGCACAAGCGGAGGAACAUGUGGUUUAAUUCGAUGAUACGCGAGGAACCUUACCCGGGCUUAAAUUGCAGAUGAAUUACGGUGAAAGCCGUAAGCCGCAAGGCAUCUGUGAAGGUGCUGCAUGGUUGUCGUCAGCUCGUGCCGUGAGGUGUCGGCUUAAGUGCCAUAACGAGCGCAACCCUUGUUGUCAGUUACUAACAGGUUCCGCUGAGGACUCUGACAAGACUGCCAUCGUAAGUUGUGAGGAAGGUGGGGAUGACGUCAAAUCAGCACGGCCCUUACGUCCGGGGCUACACACGUGUUACAAUGGGGGGUACAGAGGGCCGCUACCACGCGAGUGGAUGCCAAUCCCCAAAACCUCUCUCAGUUCGGACUGGAGUCUGCAACCCGACUCCACGAAGCUGGAUUCGCUAGUAAUCGCGCAUCAGCCACGGCGCGGUGAAUACGUUCCCGGGCCUUGUACACACCGCCCGUCAAGCCAUGGGAGCCGGGGGUACCUGAAGUGCGUAACCGCGAGGAGCGCCCUAGGGUAAAACUGGUGACUGGGGCUAAG
rnacentral:rRNA from 1 species